ACAGAGUUGAACUGAUACCACCACCUCUGCUUCCAUCACAGGCAGCAGGGAGCAUAGGAUAUCAUUUUUGUGCAUCCUCUGAAUGACAACCCCCAAGAAUUCCCCCAGAGAUGAUCCAGUGUGUGAAGAAGACCCACCUGACAGGAAUGAUGGUGAUCACUCCCAACUGUGUGUGCUGGAAACAACAAGGAAUGGUGCAGAUGAGCAACUGCAGCCUCAGCACAGAUUUCUGCUACUUGAGUUAAUGGAGUGCCGCUGCCAGUCAUGGGUUGUCAUCCUCUGAGUAAAGCCCUCCCAGAAGAGGAUUGCUGAUGGGCACUGGUGAGAAACAUGAACUGAGGAUUUGCUUGUUGGCUGGGAUGGCAGCUAAGCCAUGCUCCCUGUGCAACUCAAGAGGAAGGACUUUUAACCCAGCACACAGCUCUGGCCCUGGCUGAGCAGAUCACAGAAAGUUCUCAGUACUCUUCAAUCCCAGUGCACCAGCCCUUAUAGACCCCAAAGCAUAGGUGCACAUCUGCCUCAUUUCCCUGCGCUGCCUGCUUGUAUUUCCACCCUCUGCCAAGCUGGUGAUGGCCACAGGACCUGAAGAGGAAAGAAGAGUGAAAUAUUGCUUUCACCAAGGUAUAUAUGGGAGGUAAUUGUUGGUUGCUUCUGUCUGAAUCACUCAGUUUCCAGUGGCUUGCAAUAUCACUAACACAGUUUCCUUUUUCCACUACCUUGUUAAAUAGAAGAAACCCUUCUCUUUUAUUUGAAAUAUUGGUUUUCUUCAGCUCCCUAUAUUUCCUCUACAAGUCCUUAGGCAUUUUUCUUAAUAUAACUCUCUGCCUUGGCUACUGCACCUCACAGGUAAGAAGAGUGUGGUAUAGCUGACAUGAGUCCUGUGUGACUCUGAUCUGACACAGCCCUAUAAUCCUACUGGGAUGUCACUGCUACACAGCAGCACAGCACUGGGGGGAAACCUUAGAGGCUGAAACAAGAAUGCAGCAACAUUGGGAAGAAGGCAGUGAAGUGUGGCAAAAUAAAACUGGAACACACAGGAGUGCUGUGUUCAGGGCAUGACUGAACAUUUGAGCAGCUGACGUGGCACCACUUCAUCGCUGGCACUGCUGCCAAAAGGGUUGUGUAUCACGUCACAACCCCAGGAUGGAACUUCUGUGCAGCUGGAAAUCGCAUGUGGAAAAGCAAAGGCAAAUCUUACCUACCUCCCCAAGAUACUACCCAAACAAAAAGAUUUUUAAAAAGAAAAUGCUCUUACAUGUUCAGCAUUUGCCUAGCUCCAUAAAUGUCUUAAGGUAAGCAAGAGCAAAAUCUGUGGGGUUUAGAUAUUUUCUUUCCAAAGUUCUUAUAUAUAUAAUCUACUCCUUUUAAUUUCAUUGUAAUACCCUAAGAAUUAAUACCAUAAAUAGUUCCAUUAUCAUGUAAUCCCCUAAGAAUUAAUACCAAAAAUAGUGACGGCAGAAUGAACAAAUUGGAGAGAAGCUUGGGAUAUCUCAUCCCUUAUGUCUUGGGGCUGAAAUGAGUCAUAUUGCCAUGUCUGCUAUGGCAAAGAAGACUUUCAUAGCUGAGAGGCCAGGUUAGAGCCUUGAAAUUUCUGUGCAGCAGUCUUGAGGUAUGUCCACAUACAGAUGGUUGAAAGGCUCAGAAGGUGUUAUUCCAAGUAACACAGUCCUGUGUCUAGUGACUGUGGCUUUUAACCAGGAUUGUGACUUGUUUAUCCUGUAUUUUGUUGUCCCACCCUCUAUUCAGGGCUGUUCAAAGAAGUUGUGUAAUGAAACAGAAGAGUUGGUUUGGCUCCAGCUGGUCCUGGUGCCUGUUGUCCAAUGUGGGCUAGGUUUAGUUGUGGAGACAACACUUGGGACAUGAUGAGAGAGAAACUAAAAAUACUCAGAGGAUUUUGAAGAGCUGAAUAUUUUAUUUACUACCUAGUUACCGCUGCAAAUAAAAAUUUUAGUACCCAAGAUAAGAUUAGUUUUAUCUUUCUGGUGGGAAAUCUGUAGCAUGUUCCUUUGACUUAAAUUGAUAGACUCUGAAUUUUCUGAUAAGCUUUGCUUCUUUGAAAACCAACUGUCUAUAAACAGCACCAUGUGAAAGCAAACCAACCCUUCUUAUUUUCCCUGUAGGUAUAGUCAGAAUCCUACCUCCAAACAACCUUAAAGUAAGUUUUCAAUGCUACUUUUCUAUUCUUGUUAGUUCAGCAUAGCCAACAGUGAAGGCCUUGUUGACAUUAGGCAAAUGUGCAAUGAUGCAGCAAAAUCAAUUUAGUCACACUGAUGCAAAUCCCUCACACAGAUGUAAUGCCUGUGUGCAAAGUAGGGCAUUUCUGAACAUACACAAUAUUUAAAAUGAAGUGAAAGAGAGAGAUCCUAUUCCUCCCAACUGAUUCCUUAGUGUGAUUCAUAUUGGUGCUCCUGAAAGCCUAAGUUGAAAGAAAGGGACUUUCUGGUCAAAAAGAAGGGUUCAUUAGAAGUACUGUUGAUCAGGAAGGAAUAUUAUGAUCUUUAAAUUACAAGUUGCAGUAGCUUAACAGAUGGAAUAAUACUUUUAAAAAUACUCUUUACCUUUAAACUGAGGAUAUCUGACCUUAAAAUCACUAGGAAAAGAAAUAUGUGAUUGCAUAACUCCAUUAUAUGGUUACUUUUCAGAAUAGAAGUGAAAAUUAAUGUGUUUUUGGUCCUGGGCUCUUUUUAGUAAUUUAAUGUGAUCUGCUGUCAACAAGAGGGAAAACAAACCUCUGAUGUUCAAUAAGACUAAGAGAACAAAACGUACCUUACUGUGGGUAUUCAGUUAAAGUUCUAUUGGCAAAAAAUGGCACAGCCUGUGAAGGCAUUAUUGAAAAACAGAUGAAGUCAGCAAGGAGUACUAGUAAUGAGGUAAUGACCAUCUUCCUUUGCAGUCUUAAGAGGUUAGGGGAUUUUUUUUCUUUUUCUUUUAUUUUUUUUAACAAAAAUGCUUCAGCAAACUGUGAAUUUGAAGCAAAAAGUUUUAGUAAUUUUGUAAGCAUCUUUUAGCUGUUAUGGAGGAAAAAAAGUUUUAAAUACUUAAUGUAUAUAAUUUAUUCAACAUAGGAAUAAAUGAAAUAUCAAACUCCAAAUGAAAUAUAUGUAUUGAAAGCAUAGUUUUUAAUCAAGUCCAGGCUAUGUCACAAUACUGUUCUUUAAAAAGUAUUUUAAAUUUGGGGAAACUUUCUCCCAGUCUGAAUGGAACCACAUUUGGAAACCUGGGAUCCUUUUUGUUAAAAGUGAGUCUUUGAUUCUCCUUGUAGGUGAAGACUCACACUGGGGAAGUGAAGAGAUAUGCAGGGCUUCUUUUCCAUGUACAUUCACCUACAACCUGACUGUUAAAGUAACAUUUUCCUCCUCCACCCUCCUCAAAAAGAGAAUAGGAAAUCCCUUUUCAGGAAUAAAGUCAGGGCAGAAUCUCAUCCUGAUAGAUUAGAGUCUCCCAGUAGAGCCAGGUGACAGGGAACGCUGUUUUCUUCAUAUAUUGCCAGGAGUUGGCAGUGCUUCAUUUUGUUCUAGCAACAAUGUUAACAAGAUCCUGAGUAGGAAAACCUCAUGAGAUAAGGAAUAACAAAAUGUACUGAGUUGGGAGGGACCCACAAGGAUCAUGGAGACAGGGUAAGGGAAAUUCUCAGGCAGGUAGGGAGCUAAGCAAUCAAUUAUUACUGAAUUUCAAACCCUCAGGCGAUACAACUAUACCCCCUGCUUUAUAAUUACUGAGAUUCAUCAACAGGAGCUGUGGCCCCCACUGGGCAAUUCCCAAGUUCCUUGAAAUGAGUCUAAUACCCAAUGAGGUUACUUGUGCUGCUGCAGAAAGAUAUUUCUGGCCUUUUACGUGUCAGAAAAUAAACUGGAUGUGACAGAUUUGGAGCUGGCCUGUGAUAAUUUACGAAUAUGGUCUGUUGGCCUGAUUAUUUGGUUGAAUAUCUGGGUUUCGCUCAUCAGAUAUUAGCUUGCAGUUGCAUUGUUAAAUUAUCAGGGCUGAUCUGUGCUCAUUACCCUGGGAUGCCCCACUUCCAUUGACACUGCACAGCCAGGGAGCACAGGGACUUGGAAGGGGAAGACAUUAGGUUUUGAACCACAGCAUCCCUACAUGGGCAGGGCUAGCAUCCUAUUCAUCCCUAGAAGAGACAUAGGGUUCCAAAGGUGCAUUGGGAAUUGGAGAUGGGACCUGUAGGUGUCUGAUAAGUGGAUAGAGCAUUGUUAGGAGACACUAAUUGGGAUAUGCUCAUAUAUAUCUAGGCUGUUUCCAUGUGUUUGUGGAAUUUUCAAUCAAAGUGAAAACUAAAAAUACCUUUGGAAGAAAAAUAGGUUGUGAAUACCGCAGUGAUUUCCAUCAGUUUUUAUCUAAUUCUGGGUGUUCAGAACAGGCAUGCUGCCUCUCACCUUAGGCAAGCUCCUUUUCCCUGAAAGGGAAUCUAAUGGGAUGAACACAGGGUAAAUUUACAAAAGCAGAGUGUCUUCUCUGACUACAAAACCAAUAGGAAAGUGUGCAGAGGUGAUAUUAUUCCAUAGUUUACAGUGGAGGUAUGUUGCAUGGAGAACUGCAAACAUUACAUGGCAGCUGGCCCACUCCAGAGUGCUGGACCCAGCCUUAUCUGUGGUGAGCUUCCAGCUGAGACUGGUCAAGCAAAUCUCUUCUCAGUUGUGAAAGUCUCAGUUGUUAUUUGCCAGGUGCUGGAGAAAUAUUUUACUGGGGUAAAGAGCAUAAAUAAUAGGGCACAAAAGAGGUUUCCAAGAAACAUCCUCCAAUCUGGAAGAAAAGUUUUAUGUGUGUCUCUUUGUAUGUUAGGUGAGUGAAGUAUAGAAAACAGAAAGUUGAAAAUCGUAGGUAAUUUUUCUCACUCUCUCCUUACUGAAAGGACAAGUAAGUAUAGCUUGAUAGGUUCUUGACUGUGGAGUUCCAAAAGGCAGCCUACAGAGCUAAGCUAUAUUCUAGAUCAAUUCCUAAUUCAACCUUCACAGUUUGGGCAGCACUAUGCUCAUUCAUUGCCUGUUCCAGAUGCUUUAGUAUAUAAAUUCUCCUACUUUACUAUUGCUGGAAAGGUUAAUAUAUUACAUUUCCCUAACCAUUAAUUCCUAAUGCAUUCAUCUUACUUCUAGUGAACAUAUUUUAUAUUUUACAGGUUUUGAAAACCAACUACACAUUAAGAUGUCCAUUUCUUAAAAGAAUACAGACCAGUAAAGGCUAUAUUUUCUGGGACACAUCCUCCCAGUGGCUGCUUCGUGUUGCUGUAAUACAGUGUGGCCAGGAAGGUGACAGGUCUAUUUCUUGGAUGACUACUUUGUCAAAAACAUUUUUUAAUGACAUAGAUGGAGUGCUGACUCUCCUGCCCACUUCCUUCACUCUUGCCACAUAAAGGUUAAACUGGGCUGGCACACUGCAAAGCCCCAUGGUUUUAUUUUAGUCUGUAAAAAAAACUUAGGAAAGAGACUGUUUAGUGUCACAUGGCUGUUUUAAGAGGAGGAAAUGCACAUGCUGAUGUUGAUCGUAAUCUGGAAAGAUUUGCAUCUGUUGCAUUUGCAAGACCAAGUGACUGCUAGACAAUCUAGAAAUACAAGAAAGAGACAAACCCGAACCAGGGACAAAAGGAGGAAAUUAGAGCCAACAAGUAAAUUCUAAGUGAAAGGAACUUCUAGUCAUGAGAUCGCCAUUAAGAAGUUCUUCACCGCAGCUGGCAGCCAUCUCUUUCUGCAGCUGAAGUUUCUGAAUGAGAACUUUUUGUGGAGUGUAUCACAGGAAUAUAGAUUACAAAUGGCAAAGAUCUAGAUUGCAGCCACAAAGUGUAUGUCUGAACAGAAGGCAAAAUGCUUCUGGAAUUUGCUUUAAAUGGGAUGUCCAGAAGAAACAGAGGAGGUACUAAAACAAAUUGUGAACAGAAGUAAUGAGUAGCAUAGCAAGGGAAGAGAGAAGCAGCCUCAGCUUCUGGAUGUUUCCUAGCUAAUCAUCUUGAUUUCCAGCUAUCAGCUGUAGCGAUACGCGGAAUAAAUAAAUAGACUCCACAACUCGAUGUAGUUAUGAAGUGGGUAUGUAUGACAGCAUCUGGCACAAGUGAGAUAACUCUCCAAAAUCUUGUGCCCCGAGCUGAAGUUUGCCCCCCAGUUUUAUUCACAAAGGUGUUCCAUAUGCAAUACAUUACACAACUUUUCUAUGCAUAUUCAACCCCUGGCCCCGCCUGUCUUCGCCUCUCAUGCUAAAUAGGUCCACGCCCUUCUGGGCAUGCGUGGUUUUUUGGGGGGGCUUUUAUGGGGGUCCCUGGUGGUCUUUGAGGCUUAAAACCAUCAUCUUCCUCUGCACUGAACUUUUGAACUCUUCUCCUCUGCGCUUGUGCUUUUGGUCCUUUGCUCUCUUAUCUGGAUAAGUCCAUCAUCCUUGACAUGUUUGGAGACAGAGGGGCUUCCUUGUCUGAAUUCCUUGCAUUCCUGGUCUUUUCCGGUAUUUGUCUUUUUGCAAGAAGCUUUAAAGAUCUUUGUUUUCUUUCCUAUGCCUUUUGUGCAGAGGUUUCUUAAAAUUCAACACAUGAUUCUACAAACAUGGUACAUUCAUUUUUGCUAUAUUCGUUUUUGAUACAUUCAUUUUGUUAGCUCAAGUGAUCUCUGGAAAAUCUUUCAUUUCACAGCUUGUCACCAUCCUCAUUCUUUGUUAAUUGGUUUGACUCAUUCCAGUGGAACACUGGAGAGCCCAACAAGUCGUCUUCCAUCAGAAACUAGACAAAACCAUCAGCUGUUUUCAGACAAAAGCGAGUACAGCAUGUAUUGCUCUGUAGUGGGUUUGUCUACAUGCCCUUUUCCAACAGCCCCAAGCCAGCUCUGCCUGUGAUCCCUGGUAGCCAAGUGUGGUGUAGCUGUGGCCAAAAGCUGUGCACCCAGGUCGGUAUAACGGGAUAUCACUUCUUUCCCUGAUCCUUGUCACACUUUGCCUGAACAAUGUGGUUACAUUUAAAAGCUUUUUUCCUCACUCCCUUAUCUGGAUGUACUGAAUGGUUGGUUUUCUCAGGGUGGCUUUUUUUCCUGUUCCUCCAUGCCCUUUUUGUUUCUGUCCCAAGUACUCCUAAUAUGAUGCCAUCGCUAACAGGAAGGCUCUGCAUUCAAACUCAAAUAAUGCAAGUUCAAACUUUCAUUUUAAAUCAGAUGCUGUUCUGAUGCCAUGCAACUACAGAUUUUACAGCACAGUUUGAGCAAGCUUUGCAAACAUCCUAAGCAAACAAACUUUGCAGGAAACAUAAUCCUAUUAUUUUACUAAUCUUUGGGACACUGCCUCACAGGGAUCAUAAUUUUCAACAAAGCCUCUACUCAGUUCUUUCACAGGGUAAUCUUUGUACCACUACACAGUAUUGUUAUUUUUCUGUGCUGACAUCUGUUAGAGAAAUAGUUCAUACUAGUUACAGAAGCUACCUAGUUUGAUGAUCUUAUGACUUGCUAUUACUCCUCACAAAUGUAUUAUUUAAUGAGUUUCUGAUCAUGUUUGCUCUCAAUACUAAUCAACCAUUCUUCAAUUAUUGCCUAUUCCUCAAUAGACCCUUUCUAAUGGCAUUUUUUGGUAAUUUUCACCUUGCAGAACCUGUACCAUCCUCCUUAACUUUAAUUCCAGAAUCCAUUUCAUCAUUCACACUUGGCAUGCUCUCAGCCUGCAAGCUCCUGCCACAAUGGAUUGUUAGCACAUCAUCAUAGGGUGUUGAAUAACCAAACCGGUGGGGGGAGGAAACUACAGGACUCUCUCCUACCACUUGGUCACUCUUACUGAAAGAGGUAGAGGCAGCUGGACUGGGAGGCAGAAGGUAUACUUUAAGAAAGUGCUUCUGGAAGCAUUUUUUCCUUAUGUGUUGGCAGGUCAGGGGUUGCGAAUGUAUGGCUUGUCCCCUCCACUGAUAUUCUUAAUCAGAGAAUGACAUUUCCCUCUUAACACUUCCUCAUUGUAAUGCCAAAUUUGUUCUUCCUCCCCAGUACAACCUGUAGUAUUGUUCUCCUGUUACCAUGAUAAAUUAUGCUUGUGAGACACGCUGAAUCAUGACGCUGCUCCUGUACACAGUUGUUCCUGGUGCUGAAGAAAUUUUAAUUUUGUCAUUUACGGCUUUUUUAUGGUCCUAUUUAUUACAGGACCUAUGUUAGGGUCUUAAAGAAAUUGCAAGGAAGUGGGAAGUAUACUAGCUGCUCUGGGAAUUUAAGCACAGACAUCUGGAAUAUUCUGAGGAGCCUGGAUCUGGUUUAUGGUCGAUGUAGCAACCAACAUGCUAGAUCUAGCUUUGUGUCUGCAUGCAUACUUCAUAGAAGCUCACAGAAUCACAGAAGUGUUUGGGUUGGAAGAGACCUUAAUGAUUAUCUGCUUCCACACCACUCUACUAUGGGCUGGUCACCUUCCACAACACCAGGUUGCUCAAAGUCCUGUCCUGAUAGAUAACACAGAGAAGACAAAUUUUCAGUUCCCCUGAAGCUGCUGAAUAGAUCAGCUAACAAAAAAUGAUAAAAGAAUGUGGAAGUGUGCACACAGGAUGAUAAACGGAGCUCGAACCAGUAGAUAAACUGAUAAUGAGGAAUAUAGUGGCUUCUUGGGCCAAGUUAUGUAAAAAGAAGCAGCAGUGCAUGCCCUAAGAGAAGUUCAAGGAAAGGUCAUCUGUAAUAUUGGGGGCACAAAGACCCCUACAGACAACCCUCUAGGGACAUUAAAAGACUUUGAGUAGGAGAGAAGGAGGCAGAUGCAUGCAAACUAGUUCUGUGAAAAGUGAUGUUUAUGUAUUAGCCAGAAGUACACUGUAAUCAAUAUGUAUGAUCAUGAUGGAAUAAAUAACUUGUUGUACCUUCUGGAUGCACAUCACAUUAACAGAACUAUCCUUCUGAUGUGUCCAGCACUGUAAUAAAGAAUGUCUGUUGUCUGAUACUUAAAA